GAUCAAGAAGCUGGAGGCGUCGCUCAAUAAGUACGCGCCGGACUCGGCGCCGGCGCUCGCCAUCAAGGCCACCAUCGAGAAGACCAAGCGGCGGUUCGAGAACUACGGCAAGUUCGGUCUCCUCUGCGGCUCCGACGGGCUGCCCCACCUCAUCGUCAACGGCGAUCAGCGUCACUGGGGCGAGUUCAUCACCCCCGGCCUGCUCUUCCUCUACAUCGCCGGCUGGAUCGGGUGGGUAGGCCGCAGCUACCUCAUCGCCAUCCGCGACGACAAGAAGCCCACCAUGAAGGAGAUCAUCAUCGACGUGCCGCUCGCCACCAGGCUGCUGUGGAGGGGCUUCAUCUGGCCGGUGGCUGCCUACCGGGAACUCGUCAACGGCGAGCUAAUUGCCAAGGACGUGUGAUCCCUGGGCGCCACCGCCACCGAAUCAAAGAUGCC
rnacentral:lncRNA from 1 species